CCGUACAAUUCUGGAAUUAUGAGACAAAAUGGAAAGGAUUGACAUAGGAUAAGGUUAUCAACAAAAAGUUGACCAAUGUACACAGUUCGUACUGUCAUGUCUAUGGUUAACUAAUUAUUGGGCAUUCAUUUUAGCUCAGUGUUCAGAAAUUUGACUCUAGGAUCCUUCGGGAGAUUGAGUAUAAAGUACAAGUUUCACUUGAGCUAGCAUUAGUUUCUUUGUUUUAUGCUUGCAGUUCUGUAUUUGUCAUUGGGAGCAAAGAGGUGAUGAAUCGCAAAGAAGCAAGUUUCGAGUAUGGAAAAUGUGCAAAUGAAGAAUAGGGGAU